rnacentral:rRNA from 1 species
GAUGAACGCUGGCGGCGUGCUUAACACAUGCCAUGUCGAACGAAGCACCUUGAUUUGAUUCUUCGGAUGAAGAUCUUGGUGACUGAGUGGCGGACGGGUGAGUAACGCGUGGGUAACCUGCCUCAUACAGGGGGAUAACAGUUAGAAAUGACUGCUAAUACCGCAUAAGACCACAGCACCGCAUGGUGCAGGGGUAAAAACUCCGGUGGUAUGAGAUGGACCCGCGUCUGAUUAGGUAGUUGGUGGGGUAACGGCCUACCAAGCCGACGAUCAGUAGCCGACCUGAGAGGGUGACCGGCCACAUUGGGACUGAGACACGGCCCAAACUCCUACGGGAGGCAGCAGUGGGGAAUAUUGCACAAUGGGGGAAACCCUGAUGCAGCGACGCCGCGUGAGCGAUGAAGUAUUUCGGUAUGUAAAGCUCUAUCAGCAGGGAAGAAAAUGACGGUACCUGACUAAGAAGCACCGGCUAAAUACGUGCCAGCAGCCGCGGUAAUACGUAUGGUGCAAGCGUUAUCCGGAUUUACUGGGUGUAAAGGGAGCGUAGACGGAGUGGCAAGUCUGAUGUG